GAUGAACGCUGGCGGCGUGCCUAAUACAUGCAAGUCGAGCGAACGGACGAGAAGCUUGCUUCUCUGAUGUUAGCGGCGGACGGGUGAGUAACACGUGGAUCACCUACCUAUAAGACUGGGAUAACUUCGGGAAACCGGAGCUAAUACCGGAUAAUAUUUUGAACCGCAUGGUUCAAAAGUGAAAGACGGUCUUGCUGUCACUUAUAGAUGGAUACGCGCUGCAUUAGCUAGUUGGUAAGGUAACGGCUUACCAAGGCAACGAUGCAUAGACGACCUAAGAGGGGGAUCGGCGGCCCUGGAACGGGGGCACGGUCAAGGGUCCUACGGGAGGCAGCAGUAGGGAAUCUGCCGCAAUGGGCGAAAGCCUGACGGAGCAACGCCGCGUGAGAGAUGAAGGUCUUCGGAUCGUAAAACUCUGUUAUGAGGGAAGAACAUAUGUGUAAGGAACUGUGCACAUCUUGACGGUACCUAAUCAGAAAGCCACGGCUAACUACGUG
rnacentral:rRNA from 1 species